UAGUUUUGUUCUUUAAACCUAAAGAAUUUGGCGGUGUUUUAUUCUGUUCAGAGGAACUUGUCCCGUAAUCGAUAAUCCUCGUUUUAUCUUACUUUAAUUAUUAGUAUGUAUAUCGCCGUUAUAAGUUUAUUUUUUUAGAAUAUUUACUUUAUAUUUUAUUUUUUAUUAUUUCAGGUCAAGGUGCAGUUUAUAUUAAAGAGGUGGUGAGUUACAAUAAUUUUGAUUAUAUGGAUUUUUAAUUUAAAUUUUAAUUGAAGGUGGAUUUGAUAGUAAUUUUAAUAAUAUAAUUAUUUUGAUUUUAGUUCUAAAAUGAGUACACAUCGCCCGUCGCUCUA
rnacentral:rRNA from 1 species